rnacentral:miRNA from 1 species
AUAUAAAUCAUCUUGGGACCUUAUUAAAGUGCAUAUUCUGAUUCAGUGGGUCUGAAGUGAGGUCCAGGAUACUGCAUUUUAACAAGCUCUUUGUUUAUGAUGGU